GACGAACGCUGGCGGCGUGCCUAAUACAUGCAAGUCGAGCGGACGAAUCGAAAGCUUGCUUUUGAUUCGUUAGCGGCGGACGGGUGAGUAACACGUGGGCAACCUGCCCUGUAGACGGGGAUAACACCGAGAAAUCGGUGCUAAUACCGGAUAACACGAAAUGUCGCAUGACGUUUCGUUUAAAGACGGCGCAAGCUGCCGCUACAGGAUGUGCCCGCGGCGCAUUAGCUAGUUGGUGAGGUAACGGCUCACCAAGGCGACGAUACGUAGCCGACCUGAGAGGGUGAUCGGCCACACUGGGACUGAGACACGGCCCAGACUCCUACGGGAGGCAGCAGUAGGGAAUCUUCCGCAAUGGACGAAAGUCUGACGGAGCAACGCCGCGUGAGAGAAGAAGGCCUUCGGGUCGUAAAGCUCUGUUGUUAGGGAAGAACAAGUAACGCAGUAACUGGCGUUAGCGUGACGGUAACUAAAGAGAAAGCCACGGCUAACUACGUG
rnacentral:rRNA from 1 species